UACGGAGGGAGCUAGCGUUGUUCGGAAUUACUGGGCGUAAAGCGCACGUAGGCGGCUAUUCAAGUCGGGGGUGAAAGCCCGGGGCUCAACCCCGGAACUGCCCUCGAAACUAGGUAGCUAGAAUCUUGGAGAGGUCAGUGGAAUUCCGAGUGUAGAGGUGAAAUUCGUAGAUAUUCGGAAGAACACCAGUGGCGAAGGCGACUGACUGGACAAGUAUUGACGCUGAGGUGCGAAAGCGUGGGGAGCAAACAGGG
rnacentral:rRNA from 1 species